rnacentral:misc_RNA from 1 species
CAUACACAAAGGAAGGGUUUUGGAAAGCCCAAAUAGCACGUAAGCCUCUGAGAUUAAUUUCAUUUCUCAAAGCCAUCGAUCUUUAGAAUUUGGAACUGGAAGAUGGCGUUCGCUUCAACAAUUCGACGCUUUCUCUCAGGCUCAGCUUCUCCUACUCUCCAACCGCAGCUCUUCUCUUCUCGUCUCUACUCAACUCUCACUUCUCCAAAGCUUUUCGUCAGUGGUAGGUCCCUUUCCCUCUUUCUCCUUCUGUUUUUGGAAUUUAAUUUAAUUUUUUUUUCUUUAUUUUGGGAAUUGUACUGAUUUUUCUUGCUAUAUGGUAUAUAUUGAAUGUUGUGGGUUUAUGUAGUUGAGGUUUUGUGGGUAAUGAUGCAUUAUCCUUAGACCAGACAUGGUAUUUUAUGGUGAAAUUUUGCAUUUUGAGUUUUCUCCAGGUCAAAAUGGGGAUGGAAUUAAGAAUCCAUAAUUGAACCAAAUAGAUGCCUACCCAUGAAUUCAUAGUAGUAUAGGGCUGUGAAUCUUCCUCUGCUUCAAGAGAUGGCAAACUGAAAAUCAAUCAUUUUUUGAAUAUCCAGUGAUUUCUUGUAGCAUUUGUUACACUUAUCUAGAAGUUGCCCAAAUGUCUUUCAUUGUGGCUUCGCUUUUAUGUGGGUUAGUUUGGCAUGAGAUUGUCUAGGCGGGUGAAGAUAAACCUAGAUGCAACUAUCAGUUGAGUGAAGAAUGAAUAUUUGUAAGAUCUAAAUGUCUGUUUGUGCAUUUCUGUGAAUACCUAGUGCUCAUUGUCAUGGAAGAUGUAUUAAAAAGUGGGUUGGUGCUUAGCUUUAAAGUAGAAGUAGCAGAACUAGAAUUCUACUCACCUGAAGCCCUUUUGGCUGCUAAUCCCCUAGCCUAAUUUUACCUGUGCCUUUUACAUGGUUCAAAGCCCAUUUACUUGGGGAUGAUAUUUUCUUUUGCACAUGAUUCUAGGAUAGAUGGCAAUAUGAAUAGGUAUAAUGGAAUUUGUUUACCAAGAAAUGGAAAUGAAAGGAGUGGCUAUGCUGUUUGCCUGCUAGAAUUAGCAUGUACUUCAUUAGGUUUUGGUAUGUUUCUUUACCUCCUUAAAAUUAGCGAAUGUUUCAGUGAACUACUCUUGUUCUCUAAUGCAAGAAUAUUCUUGUCUAGAUUGUUAAUGUUGAUAGCUCUAUAUGGAAAAGAUCAGUGCUUAUGUUAAAAGAAUGAGAAACAAUUUAAAACACUUUUAAGUUCCUAAGUUCUUUCUCCAGAUAUUUUAAUUAUCAUUAUGAUGCCAGUUUUCCAAUCAAGGGUUAGAAUGAUCAAUCUUGUGCCAAGUGGAAAAGUGCACUGGUAGUUAUUUAGACAUAUUUGUGUACAACCUUGUUUUUAUGCACAUGGAAUUUUGAUGGCAUUGGGCU